UAGUUUUCACAUAUUAUUAUUUCUUUAUUUUAAUUAUACAAAUUUUGUAUUGUUAAAUAUUUAAAGGGUGUGGAGUCUCAACAGGGUGAAAUUUUCAGGACAAAAGGGAGGUAAUUCCUUUGUUAUACUCAUUAUACUUGAAAUUUCCUGAGUGUUAAUAUUGAAUAUAACUUUUUUAAUUAAAAUAUUCACUUUUGUACACAUUUUCUUUAAAUAUCAGAUGUAUACUUGCUAAAAUUACUUUUAUUUAGAGUUCUGUAAAUAAAAAAAAAUGUAAGCAGAGCUCUAGCUAUAGAUAAUAGAUUUGGAGGGUGGGAGAAAUUGUGGGUAACUACAAUUGAUUAGGUGAAAUUUCAAAAGACUUAAAAAGUGCAUCUGAUAUUUAUUUUUACAUAAUGUUAUUUCUGAAAGCAAAUGGACAAUAAGAUGAGGACAUAAACCACCUUCCAGGUUAGGAUAGCAGCUCUUAAGGAAGAUGGUCAAUUAAAUCUUCAACCCAGUCUGAGGCCUUACCAUGAAAAAUAUGUGGUUGUUGAAAUUACAAUGUUUUCAUGGUGUGGGGAGUAAGACUUGAAUAUCUGAUAUUGUUAACAUGAUGGUUAGCAUCACAAGUUUCCUUUGGGUAACUUGCUUGAGGAGUAAAGAGAGCUGUUUAAGUUGAAAGUGUCACCUUUGCUGCCUUGUGUGGUACAAUCUUCAGACAAUAUCCUGCAAACUGUGGCUGAACUGUUACUAUCUUUUUUUAGUAGAAUCCUUAGACAGUAAUCUUGUGGCAGAAUGAGUUGUAAACAAAUUGUUUUUAUUCCUGUAUUGAGUUUCAAAUUGGAUAUUUUUUUAUUUAUAUUAUUU